GAUCGCUUUACCAAGAUUCACACCUUUGAGAUGCACAUUAUAAAGGCGAAGGAGAACUAUGCAGGGAAUUACAGAUGUGAGGUCAACUACAAAGACAAAUUUGAUAGUUGCUCUUUUGACCUGGAGAUCAAAGAAGUCUCAGACGGUUCUCAAAACAUUGACAUCCGCUCAGCUUUCAAAAGAAGGUAAAGG